CCUAUAGUUGAAGGCUAUGGGGGUUGGGCCUUCAGACUCGAAAUAGUUCCGAUUGAAUCAUCAUAUCCCGGAUAUGGGAAACUUGUGGUGUUAGAGUCGACGGAUCAUGUAAAUUCAUGCAAACCGAUAACUAAAAGUGAUCCUUCUUACAGUGAAACGUUACAUCUUUUACACAAACUUAGAGAAAAUAUCCAUAAAAAGUCAUUCUAGUUAACCAUGUAUAUACAGAUGUACAUAGUGAAGUUGUUAGGAUAA